GACGAACGCUGGCGGCGUGCUUAACACAUGCAAGUCGAACGCUGAAGCUUGGUGCUUGCGCUGGGUGGAUGAGUGGCGAACGGGUGAGUAAUACGUGAGUAACCUGCCCUUGACUCUGGGAUAAGCCUGGGAAACUGGGUCUAAUACUGGAUACGACAUGUCACCGCAUGGUGGUGUGUGGAAAGGGUUUUACUGGUUUUGGAUGGGCUCACGGCCUAUCAGCUUGUUGGUGGGGUAAUGGCUCACCAAGGCGACGACGGGUAGCCGGCCUGAGAGGGUGACCGGCCACACUGGGACUGAGACACGGCCCAGACUCCUACGGGAGGCAGCAGUGGGGAAUAUUGCACAAUGGGCGAAAGCCUGAUGCAGCGACGCCGCGUGAGGGAUGACGGCCUUCGGGUUGUAAACCUCUUUCAGCACGGAAGAAGCGAAAGUGACGGUACGUGCAGAAGAAGCGCCGGCUAACUACGUG
rnacentral:rRNA from 1 species